UACGAAGGGGGCUAGCGUUGUUCGGAAUCACUGGGCGUAAAGGGCGCGUAGGCGGCUUUGUAAGUCGGGGGUGAAAGCCUGUGGCUCAACCACAGAAUUGCCUUCGAUACUGCAUGGCUUGAGACCGGAAGAGGUAAGUGGAACUGCGAGUGUAGAGGUGAAAUUCGUAGAUAUUCGCAAGAACACCAGUGGCGAAGGCGGCUUACUGGUCCAUUACUGACGCUGAGGUGGCGAAAAGCGUGGGGAGCAAACAGG
rnacentral:rRNA from 1 species